UGGGGAAUUUUGGACAAUGGGCGCAAGCCUGACCCAGCCAUGCCGCGUGCGUGAAGAAGGCCUUCGGGUUGUAAACCGCUUUUGUCAGGGAAGAAAUCUUCUGAGUUAAUACCUCGGGAGGAUGACGGUACCUGAAGAAUAAGCACCGGCUAACUACGUGCCAGCAGCCGCGGUAAUACGUAGGGUGCAAGCGUUAAUCGGAAUUACUGGGCGUAAAGCGUGCGCAGGCGGUUUUGUAAGACAGAGGUGAAAUCCCCGGGCUCAACCUGGGAACUGCCUUUGUGACUGCAAGGCUUGAGUGCGGCAGAGGGGGGAUGGAAUUCCGCGUGUAGCAGUGAAAUGCGUAGAUAUGCGGAGGAACACCGAUGGCGAAGGCAAUCCCCUGGGCCUGCACUGACGCUCAUGCACGAAAGCGUGGGGAGCAAACAGGAUUAGAUACCCUGGUAGUCCACGCCCUAAAACGAUGUCAACUGGUUGUUGGGAAGGUUCCUUCUCAGUAACGUAGCUAACGCGUGAAGUUGACCGCCUGGGGAGUACGGCCGC
rnacentral:rRNA from 1 species